rnacentral:rRNA from 1 species
AUUGAACGCUGGCGGCAGGCCUAACACAUGCAAGUCGAACGAGUGGCGGACGGGUGAGUAAUGUCUGGGAAACUGCCUGAUGGAGGGGGAUAACUACUGGAAACGGUAGCUAAUACCGCAUACCCUCGGAUGUGCCCAGAUGGGAUUAGCUGGUAGGUGGGGUAACGGCUCACCUGGGGGACGAUCCCUAGCUGGUCUGAGAGGAGGACCAGCCAAAUGGGAACUGAGAAACGGUCCAGACGCCUCCGGUAGGCAGCAGUGGGGAAUAUUGCACAAUGGGCGCAAGCCUGAUGCAGCCAUGCCGCGUGUAUGAAGAAGGCCUUCGGGUUGUAAAGUACUUUCAGCGGGGAGGCGUUACCCGCAGAAGAAGCACCGGCUAACUCCGUGCCAGCAGCCGCGGUAAUAC